rnacentral:lncRNA from 1 species
UUUUAGUAGCAUACAUUUAAUUAAUACUCAUAAUUUAUUUCAAUUAAUCCACAAACAGUCAAAUUACAGCAGUUUUUGUUAGGAAACCUGUUCCAACAAAUGGUAAGAUGCCUGUUUCAACAUCAUCAUUGAACACAUAAUUUAAGCCAUUGCUUGUCUCAAUUCUACUUCCAAGACAAUACUUAGAGAUGACAACUGGAAUCAUCUUGUAUGAAGUCAGAAAUCACCCACUCAGGAAAUCAUAAAACUGAUGUUUAAUGUCAGUUCCUGGCACACAUUGUCUUCAUUCCUGUAAAAGAAGUUCUAUUUAAAUUGCAGUCAGCAUUAUGCACACACAAAACAGGUAACUGCCCUAAGGUUGAGCUACAUUAACCUUCUACAAGAUACUAACCUUAGGCCAGAGCCAUUUCUCAAAAGAAAUUACUUUGUAGAGGAUGGGAUUUUCCUUUCCUAUACCAUUAGUAUGGAUUCCAUUCCAGAGGACCAGCUAUAUUAGAAUAAACAGAUCCAGUAACUAUCACUGGCUUUCCUUUGAUUUUUUUUGCUAUUUGUUUCUUUCUAAAUCUAUAUAAAGUUUUAACAGUUACCACACAAGUUUUUCACCAAAGCUAUAAACUCUUUCAGGAACAGAAUGCAUUCACUAUUAUCUGAUAAUCUUUUUCACAAUUACAUACCUGGAGUCUAAAAUGAUUUACAAGAAACUCUUCAUUUAAGACAUUAAUCACAUAGGUUUACAAAGCACAAAGAUUUGAGAAACCUGUGAUAUUAAGAGUGAGAUAUCAUAACAAGAGGACAGUUCAAAAUCUUCCUACAAACUAUUUAUAAAGUUGAUUCUGCAGCGUCCUGAAGUUCAGCAGUUAUACAAAUGUGUUCCUCCUAAGCAUGAUCCAAAGAAGAGUUUCAACCUCACCUCUGGGUUUGCAAGAGAACUUUUAUUCCCCUCUGUAUUGGCCACUUAAGACACCGCCAGACUUAAGAGGGCAAAGCAUAAAAGGGGAGUAGAUUUUAGUAUAUUGUUUUCUUAUCAACAAAGAUGAUCUGAACUUGCUAUUUUCUCAAGAGAUACUACAAUUUGCUUGAAAUUUGUAAAUUAUUAAAGAGCAAUAUUAAAAAUGAUUGGCAAUUGUCAUUAGACGACAGCACACUUACCUUCCAUUACAAGGCAUUAUUUAUUCCUAAGAAGUCACAAGUAUUGCUUCACAUUUAGGUGUGAUUAUCCAUGUCUAAAACAUUUCAAGCAUGAGGUUGCUGUGAGGCCUCUAAACAACACACAAAAAAUUGGAAAACUAUAAUUAAUACUGUUUAACUAAGCUAAAAUUUUAAACUAAACUUUAUUCUACAAAGUUGCUACUAUGUUGUUAAACAUUUUAAAAGUAAUUUUCCAUGGAGUUGCAAAAGUCAUUUACAAGAAGUUCGUUUGCAAAUCAAAACCUAGAGCAAAAGGUAAUUAGUGGUUCAAUAUGAUGAUAAGUCAUGUUCAUUAGCCCAGUUAAACUACAGAGAACAUAUUUUUAACAUUUUGUAAAAUAUAACUUUAAUCAUAAACAAUGGAAAGCUUAUUAAGCCUGAAUUCCUUUUAGUGCUGACAGUACCAAGGUAAGCCACAAACCUGUAGAUUUGACUGAAUCUUUGACAAUUCAUUGAUACCUUGUGUCUACUCACAAAUAGAUAUGGACCUUGUUACAAAUUAUUCAGCCCUGAAGCAAGAGACAAAGGACACUUACAAGCGGAGUAGAAGACUGCAGGGAAAGCUCAAGACAGAGGUUUUUUUCUUUGUUUGAACAGUUAUUAAGGCCAUUUGAGUCCAAGUCCCAAGUGCCUACAGCCUAAACAUCACAGGUUAUAACUGUAGUUUUCUUAAUGUGUCCUAUAAAAAAACUAGAUUUAAGGUCUGUGCAGCUCAAUAGCUGCGGGUUAAAGAACGGGAGAGUGCAAACAUAGACAAUUAGUUCGGCUCAGAGACACAGGGCAGCACCCCAUAGAUGUUUGUCUUUUAAAAAUCUCGAGAUUCAAAGCCCUCCACUUCUGAAGCCCGAAGCAUUUUCUUACCAGCCCCAGGCUGUAGGAGGAGUGAUGAUCUCGGUGUGCCCCUCACCCAUGGGGGUACAAAGGCUGAGCGCAGAUCGCCAGCGCUUCCCCCUGCCCCGGCCUGCCGCGCUUGGCCUCCUGCCCAUCGGGAGCAUGUCAAGGGCUCGCCGGCACUCGGCACACACUGCGGAGGGAAACAGGCAUCAGCCGGGCAGCAAGGGGACCGUGAGGGGGGUAUGGAGGGACGGGCCAUUUGUGCCUCACGACAGGAUGCAGGGCGGAGGGAAGGGCUCCGCACUGGGUUUUAGUGAGGGAAAGCUGCUCUAUCCCCCUGUGUUGACUCCCCGGAGCACCGCCAAGCUCCGAGAGGGCAAGAUGUGAAGGGAAAUCCACACAGGUUCCACCCCCCAGUUCUAGGGCCCGUCCGUGCGGAGCGCGGGCAGUUUCUCCUGAGAGCGCCCGGAGCCAGCUUACCACGCCCUCG